rnacentral:rRNA from 1 species
UACGUAGGGGGCAAGCGUUGUCCGGAAUCAUUGGGCGUAAAGCGCGUGUAGGCGGUUUGGUAAGUCCGCUGUGAAAGUCCAGGGCUCAACCCUGGAAAGCCGGUGGAUACUGUCAGACUAGAGUGCGGGAGAGGCGAGUGGAAUUCCUGGUGUAGCGGUGAAAUGCGCAGAUAUCAGGAGGAACACCGAUGGCGAAGGCAGGUCUCUGGGCAUUAACUGACGCUGAGGAGCGAAAGCAUGGGGAGCGAACAGG